GCUGGGUGUGGUGGCUCACACCUGUAAUCCCAGCACUUUGGGAGGCCGAGGCGGGAGGAUCACUUGAGCCCAGGAGUUUGAAACCAGCCUGGGCAACAUAGUGAGACCUUGUCUCUA
rnacentral:SRP_RNA from 1 species